GAUGAACGCUGGCGGCGUGCCUAAUACAUGCAAGUCGAGCGAACAGACGAGGAGCUUGCUCCUUCGACGUUAGCGGCGGACGGGUGAGUAACACGUAGGUAACCUACCUAUAAGACUGGGAUAACUUCGGGAAACCGGAGCUAAUACCGGAUAAUAUUUCGAACCGCAUGGUUCGAUAGUGAAAGAUGGCUUUGCUAUCACUUAUAGAUGGACCUGCGCCGUAUUAGCUAGUUGGUAAGGUAACGGCUUACCAAGGCAACGAUACGUAGCCGACCUGAGAGGGUGAUCGGCCACACUGGAACUGAGACACGGUCCAGACUCCUACGGGAGGCAGCAGUAGGGAAUCUUCCGCAAUGGGCGAAAGCCUGACGGAGAAACGCCGCGUGAGUGAUGAAGGUCUUCGGAUCGUAAAACUCUGUUAUUAGGGAAGAACAAACGUGUAAGUAACUGUGCACGUCUUGACGGUACCUAAUCAGAAAGCCACGGCUAACUACGUG
rnacentral:rRNA from 1 species